rnacentral:rRNA from 1 species
UAAACGACUCUCUGCGAUAGAUAUCUCGGCUCUUGCAUUCAUGAAGAACGUAGCAAAUACGAUACUUUGUGUGAAUUACAGAAUCCCGUGAAGCAUCGAGUCUUUGAACGCAAGUUGCGCCCGAAGCCAUUAGGCUGAGGACACGUCUGCCUG